UGGGGAAUUUUGGACAAUGGGGGAAACCCUGAUCCAGCCAUCCCGCGUGUGCGAUGAAGGCCUUCGGGUUGUAAAGCACUUUUGGCAGGAAAGAAACGUCGCGGGUUAAUACCCCGCGGAACUGACGGUACCUGCAGAAUAAGCACCGGCUAACUACGUGCCAGCAGCCGCGGUAAUACGUAGGGUGCAAGCGUUAAUCGGAAUUACUGGGCGUAAAGCGUGCGCAGGCGGUUCGGAAAGAAAGAUGUGAAAUCCCAGAGCUUAACUUUGGAACUGCAUUUUUAACUACCGGGCUAGAGUGUGUCAAAGGGAGGUGGAAUUCCGCGUGUAGCAGUGAAAUGCGUAGAUAUGCGGAGGAACACCGAUGGCGAAGGCAGCCUCCUGGGAUAACACUGACGCUCAUGCACGAAAGCGUGGGGAGCAAACAGGAUUAGAUACCCUGGUAGUCCACGCCCUAAACGAUGUCAACUAGCUGUUGGGGUCUUCGGACCUUGGUAGCGCAGCUAACGCGUGAAGUUGACCGCCUGGGGAGUACGGUCGCAAGAUUAAAACUUAAAUGAAUUG
rnacentral:rRNA from 1 species